AGAUUGAACGCUGGCGGCAUGCUUUACACAUGCAAGUCGAACGGUAACAGGCCGCAAGGUGCUGACGAGUGGCGAACGGGUGAGUAAUGCAUCGGAACGUGCCCAGUCGUGGGGGAUAACGCAGCGAAAGCUGCGCUAAUACCGCAUACGAUCUAUGGAUGAAAGGCGGGGACCGUAAGGCCUCGCGCGAUUGGAGCGGCCGAUGUCAGUAUUAGGGUAGUUGGGUAGGGGUAAAGGCUACACCAAGACCAACGUACUCUGUAGCUGGUCUGAGGACGGACGACCACGCCAAC
rnacentral:rRNA from 1 species